rnacentral:rRNA from 1 species
AACGAACGCUGGCGGCAGGCCUAACACAUGCAAGUCGAGCGAAGCCUUCGGGCUUAGCGGCGGACGGGUGAGUAACGCGUGGGAACGUGCCCCUUGGUACGGAAUAGCACCGGGAAAGUGGGAGUAAUACCGUAUGUGGUCGAGAGACGAAAGAUUUAUCGCCAAAGGAUCGGCCCGCGUUGGAUUAGGUCGUUGGUGGGGUAAUGGCCUACCAAGCCGACGAUCCAUAGCUGGUUUGAGAGGAUGAUAAGACACACUGGGACUGAGACACGGCCCAGACUCCUACGGGAGGAAGCAGUGGGGGAUCUUAGACAAUGGGGGAAACCCUGAUCUAGCCAUGCCGCGUGAUCGAUGAAGGCCUUAGGGUUGUAAAGAUCUUUCAGUGGGGAAGAUAAUGACUGUACCCACAGAAGAAGCCCCGGCUAACUCCGUGCCAGCAGCCGCAGUAAGAC